rnacentral:rRNA from 1 species
AUGUCUAUGGGGUUUGAGUUUGCGAUAUAUUGUUCUUCCUGUCUUUUGUGUUAUAGGAACACCGCGGAACCCUGGGAGAUUUUCCGGGUUUAAAAUUUUGUCCCAAAACACAACUUCACGCCAUAAGGUUUUUUAAGGGUGUCCCGUGCCAAAAGGGGGGCCCUUUUGGUGAAGAACAUUUCGGCAAGCCCCGGUUGGGGUUUAUAGGUAAAAUUUGGGCCCCUUAUAUUCCCAAACAUUGGUUCAGGUUCCCUGUCGGGGAAGCCUUGGAGGGCCUAUUUUGGCCGCAAACCGGACCUCCAACCACCGGUCCUAAAUUUCAGGGCGGAGGUUAGCAGUUUGGGCAUCUUUCGCCAAUGGACGGAAAGUUUGAAUGAAGCAACGGCGGGGUGAGGGAAGGAAGGGUUUCCGGUUUGUAAAACUCUGUUGUUAGAGAAGAACAGCCGUGAGAGCAACUGCUCACGGUAUGACGGUAUCUAACCAGAAAGUCACGGCUAACUACGUGCCAGCAGCCGCGGUAAUACGUAGGUGGCAAACGUUGUCCGGAUUUAUUGGGCGUAAAGGGAGCGCAGGCGGUUUUAUUAAGUCUGAUGUGAAAGCCUUUGGGCUUAACCGGAGAAGUGCAUCGGAAACUGAUAAACUUGAGUGCAGAAAAGGAUAGUGGAACUUCAUGUGUAGCGGUGAAAUGCGUAGAUAUAUGAAGGAACACCAGUGGCGAAGGCGGCUAUCUGGUCUGUAACUGACGCUGAGGCUCGAAAGCAUGGGUAGCAAACAGGAUUAGAUACCCUGGUAGUCCAUGCCGUAAACGAUGAAUGCUAGGUGUUGGAAGGUUUCCGCCUUUCAGUGCCGCAGCUAACGCAUUAAGCAUUCCGCCUGGGGAGUACGACCGCAAGGUUGAAACUCAAAGGAAUUGACGGGGACCCGCACAAGCGGUGGAGCAUGUGGUUUAAUUCGAUGCUACGCGAAGAACCUUACCAGGACUUGACAUCUUCUGCCAAUCUAAGAGAUUAGACGUUCCCUUCGGGGACAGAAUGACAGGUGGUGCAUGGUUGUCGUCAGCUCGUGUCGUGAGAUGUUGGGUUAAGUCCCGCAACGAGCGCAACCCUUGUCUUUAGUUGCCAGCAUUAAGUUGGGCACUCUAGAGAGACUGCCGGUGAUAAACCGGAGGAAGGUGGGGAUGACGUCAAAUCAUCAUGCCCCUUAUGUCCUGGGCUACACACGUGCUACAAUGGGCGAUACAACGAGUUGCGAAACCGCGAGGUCAAGCUAAUCUCUUAAAGUCGUUCUCAGUUCGGAUUGCAGUCUGCAACUCGACUGCAUGAAGUUGGAAUCGCUAGUAAUCGUGGAUCAGCAUGCCACGGUGAAUACGUUCCCGGGUCUUGUACACACCGCCCGUCACACCAUGAGAGUUUGUAACACCCAAAGUCGGUUGGAUAACCUUUUUAGGAGUCCGCCGCCUAAGGUGGGACAGAUGAUUAGGGUGAAGU